AAAUUCGUUUACAUCUUAAAGCGCACCACUUGGACUGGGUCCUAUUGGGAAAAGCACCCUGACGCACAUCCACGGAGACCCUUACCCAACUGUUAAAACGAUUGUCCUCCAUGGACGAGAAGGACGUAUCGUACUUGAUGUGUCAUUGUUCCCCUCGUUGCAACUCAUCAGAGGAGGCGAGACUAGCUGUGAAGACCUAAUUCACCUACCACCAUCGCGAAAGUUGAUUGUCAAUGAACAGUCUUGCUUAAAUGAUCCUGAAUCGGUGUCUGAUUCACUGUCUGAGGAGGAAUCUGUUCUUCUUGAUUGUUCAUCAACCUCUGCUCUCAGUGUGUGUCUCUAUUUCAACACAAUCUGGGAACACAUCAUUGAAGCGCCCACACUCAUCCAUGGUUCUGUUCAGUUCAAGUGAUGAAAGUGAAAUGAUGAAAACACUCAUAGAGAGACGGAUAUAUAUCAUCUUGGGCAUAAUUCUAUGUCUGCGGUAAGUAGACUGUACAUACUUCAUCAGGAAAUAUGUUUGUGCGUAAACGUCCAUAGGCUUCAUCAGCAUAGGGUGAAGCAUCCAAAACAAGAUACCCAUAUUUAUUUCUCCCCACUGCAUCUUGGAAGGAUUCCGUAAAAUAUUUGCUCUGUCCUGGAAAUAUUUGCGAUGCCAAAAUUUUAUAUUCAUGCGCUGAACGUGGGUUAGAUAACAGAACGAAGUAAUGGGUGUUU